GCGUACCUACGGGAGGCAGCAGUGGGGAAUAUUGCACAAUGGGCGCAAGCCUGAUGCAGCCAUGCCGCGUGUAUGAAGAAGGCCUUCGGGUUGUAAAGUACUUUCAGCGGGGGGGAAGGGAGUAAAGUUAAUACCUUUGCUCAUUGACGUUACCCGCAGAAGAAGCACCGGCAAACUCCGUGCCAGAAGCCGCGGUAAUACGGAGGGUGCAAGCGUUACUCGGAAUAACUGGGCGUAAA
rnacentral:rRNA from 1 species